rnacentral:tRNA from 1 species
UCCCUGAUAAUCUAGUAGUUAGGAUUCAGUGCUUUCACUGCUGUGGCCCAGGUUCAAUCCCUAGUCAGGGAA